CUGGAAAAGAGUCCAUUGAUGUCUUUGAUAAGGCUUGUCGCUCUGUACUUUGUGCUGUUCUCAUUGUGAACUGAGGGGGGCGCAAAUGUAAUGCCAAAACCUGCAGAAUGAAGCUCCAAUGCACCAUAUGUGUAUGUCAGAAUGUGAUAUAAGAACUCAAGGAGACACAGAGUCCAAAGUGAACCAGUCACCACAGUUCAACCAUGGAAUAUUGCAUAAAGACAUUCAUUCUAGCUGUUCAUUUCAGUGUGUGCUCUGCAGUGGGAGACUCUGUUACUCAACCUAAAGAUGAGACGGGUCUGGAGGGCAGCAUGGUGACACUCAGCUGUCAGUAUAAGACCAUUGCAUUAGCAGGCAGCCAGUAUCUCUUCUGGUACCAGCAGAAACCAAACAGAUUCCCAAAAUAUAUUCUACUGAAAACAUCUCUUAGACAAGACAAUGGCCCAGAUUUUGAGGGGAGAUUCAAUGCUACACUCAACACAGACACAAAAACUGUUAAUCUGACAAUCCAGGAUCUGCAAGUCUCUGACUCUGCUGUGUACUACUGUGCUCUGCAGCCCACAGUGACAGCUGCAGACUCAGCUCUCAUACAAAAACUGUCUUAGUCAAGAGACACCUGAAAAUGGUAAUGACACAAAUGUGGAAAACAUAAUUUACACUGAAUUGAUUUUAGUUAAAACAUAUUCAGAGAAAAUGCACAAAUGUACUAGAUCCUCGUCUGAUGGUGAGGCAGAGAGUGACGGAAUCUAUGCUUAUAAUAUAAACAUAGAUUCCGUCACUCUCACCAUUUUACACCACAAUAUUAUUAGUGCUUGCAAGGAACAAACAUAUGUACUGGGCAAAAAUGUAAGCAAAAGGGAAAAGGGAAUAACAAUAUCACUUUCUCCAGCACCUGUUUUAUCCAGCAGGUGAACCAACAUGUCACACUGACAUUGUAAAUGCCUGUUGUUAGCUAGCCUAUCUCUAAAUAGAGACUGUGGCAUCUGUGUGGCACUGAAUAUCAUCUGUUAGGCAAUCUCAGGGUAUCACCUCUUUCCUUAGUUGUCAAAACGUGUUGGUCAACGGCACAAAGACUUUUGCUACUUUACUUGAAGGUAUCUACAUAAGAGUGACAUGACACUGUCAUAACACUAACCCUAACUUGUCAUAACAAAAACCGAAUUACACUUGACAGAAGCGAGAAGUGUUAUGUCAUUUACAAUAAUAACUUGUUCAUAAUGUUUAUUACACGUUCAUGACAGUGGCAUGUCACUCUAAUGUAGAUACCUUCAAGUAAAGUGUAAUCAGACUUUAACUUAACACAACCUGUCUUGUUUCCAGGGGAUGAGGUUACACAAUUAUUGCACAGUAUUAAAACAUGACACUAGAGGCAGUGAAAGACAGUGAAAGAGAGAGAGAAAAUAAAAACAGCAUAAUAAGCUGCAUUGUUUGUUGGCUGUCAUCACAGUUCACUUAUAUGACUAUAGCAGAACGAUGCUGUCUCUCAUUUUAGCAACCCAUAGGCAAAAUAAUUUGCUAUAAAUUCUAAAUGCAUGUCUACAGAUUACUAAUUAUUUGUGCCAUUAAAACAAGCAAGUUGUGUCCAUUAUUGCUACCCACAUUAAAGCUGCAGUUGGGAAGUCUGACAGAUUGAGGGGACUUAGCCAAAAUGUUCAAUGCCCCUCCCCCACUACCUCCGAGCACAAACCGAGUUUGUGCUCUUCAGUGUGUACCAGACUGCACCAGACUGUGAUUGACCGUCAGAUCUCACACAGCCCUGCUCUGAUUGGACCAGAAGAACCGGGA